AGUAUGUCAGCCAUGUCAUGGGUUAACUGAAGAGCAGGAAACAUGGAGGCAUCUCUGGAAGGCCUUUGGAGGUGACAUAACUGCAGCCCCCCUCUAAGUAGAGGACAGACAAGGUCAGAGCUGGUCUUUUCCUAACCCUCUGCUCUUUGUGUGCAUCUAUGUGGGCAUGGCAACCAGCGACAACCAGCAAUAAAGAUGAGGUUAUAUUGCCCAAUAAAUCUGAAUUCAACUGAAGGUACGAGAAAAUCCAAGACAGUUCCAGCUCUGGAAGUGAGGUCAGCAUGUUACUGUGGACUUGGAUCCACAGUGUUCAACAAAAAAAAGGGAGAACUGACACCAGCCAAGCUAUAGCAAGUCACUGACCUCACCCACGGCUCCUAAGUGGUUAUGCAACCUCAAUUUGCAUCUUCCUGUAUCUGAUAAGUGCUGAAUAGUGUGUCUCCUGGCAGCAGAAAAGAGGAACUAGAAGUAAAGGCGAAGCAGAAAAAAUAAAGAACACCUCCCAAUGGCACCGUUUAGCAGCCUUAGAUUAGCAAUCAACACUUCCUUUCUGAGCUUUUACACAGUAAAAAAAAAAAAACACAUUUUUUUUGUUUUAUCCCACAGUUGUUUCAGUCAAAGGGUUUACAUUUUGUCAGAGAGGAUCACUACUAAAGUCUCCUUUACCUGAUGCACAAAGGAAGUGAGUGUAUGUUUUAUCAGACUGUACACUGAACCCUAAAACAAGGGAUUACAAUGGAGAAAUAUCAAAUGUAGUACUUUACUCCAGAGUCCUUUUAUGCCUUAUGUAAAGCACCUUGACUUGCCAUUGUGUAUAA